GAUAUACUUUUCAGUCUAAGGACACCCUAGUCGUCCACCUGAUGCUGCCACCGAGGUCUAGAUGCCUCGACACUUUCCUUCCACAUCAGCUCCUCUUCCUGCUCUAACGCAGGUGUCCUGCCCGGGGAGAUUACAGCGGCUCAUAGAGACCCCAGAUGAGGCACCAGGGAAGGAGCCAGGACAGCAGAGCUCUCCAGCCCGAGUCCCACAACAUCCUGCCUCUCACAUUGCUCUUUUCUUGGUUCCAGGAAAGUGUUAAGUAUGAUAACUUAAAUGAAAGUUAAGUUUUCCAAAUUGAAAGCAAAAUUUUCAAUCCCUAUCUAAAUAUACUCUGUUAAGUCUAAAGCCCAAUAACAGACUAUGCUGUUUACUUUAAAAACUGUAAAACAGAAGACAAAACAAGACACAGAAUUAAGUCAGAGAAAGACAAACACUAUAUGAUCUCACAUGUGGAAUAAAAAAAAAACCCAUAGAAGCAGCAAUCAGACUUGUGAUUACCAGUGGCAGGGAGUGGAGGGAGGGGGAAUUGGAAGACGGUGGUCAAAAGAUGCAAGCUUCCGGUUGUAAGCGAAGAAGUAGUAGGAAUGCAAUGUACACCCUCAUGACUAGUUAACACCACUGCUGUAUGGUACACAGGAGAGUUAAAAGUCCUACGAGUUCUCAUCACAAGUAAAAAUAAUUGGGUUUUCUUUUUUGCUUUUUCUUUAUUGUAUCUACAUGGGAUGAUGGGUUCUAACUAAACAGCAGUAAUCAUUUCACAAUCUACUAAGUCAAUCUGUUACACUGUACACCUUUGUAAACCUCUAUAGUGAUGUAUGCCAACUAUAUCUCAAUGAAACGGGACAGGGGAGCAAGACAAAAAUAUCAGCUGCUUUGGUAUUGUUGUACUUUAUCUUGGCAAUGUACUCUGCUCUGUAAACUUCACUACUGCAGCUGAACAAGCUAAACAAACCACUGUGGUCAAGACGACUUUAAGUGUGGGAACAGGGGCAACACCUGAAUUAGCAAAGCGGGGGAGGAGACCAGUGGAGACUGGCAGGAAAAGGUGAAUAAAGAGCCAUUAUCCCUCGUGGGCUUGGUGCUUUACCAUCUCAAGCUGAAUACUUGAGUUAAGAGGA